UACGUAGGCAGCAAGCGUUGUUCGGAAUUACUGGGCGUAAAGAGUGUGUAGGCGGUGCUCUAAGUUCGGUGUGAAAUCUCCCGGCUCAACUGGGAGGGUGCGCCGGAAACUGGGGUGCUGGAGCGCGGGAGAGGAAAGCGGAAUUCCUGGUGUAGCGGUGGAAUGCGUAGAUAUCAGGAGGAACACCGGCGGUGUAGACGGCUUUCUGGACCGUAGCUGACGCUGAGACACGAAAGCGUGGGUAGCAAACAGG
rnacentral:rRNA from 1 species